CAAGUCGAGCGAAUCUGAUGGGAGCUUGCUCCCUGAAGAUUAGCGGCGGACGGGUGAGUAACACGUGGGCAACCUGCCUGUAAGCUUGGGAUAACUUCGGGAAACCGGAGCUAAUACCGAAUAACUUCUUUCUUCAUAUGAAGAGAGGUUGAAAGACGGUUAUGCUGUCACUUACAGAUGGGCCCGCGGCGCAUUAGCUAGUUGGUGAGGUAACGGCUCACCAAGGCGACGAUGCGUAGCCGACCUGAGAGGGUGAUCGGCCACACUGGGACUGAGACACGGCCCAGACUCCUACGGGAGGCAGCAGUAGGGAAUCUUCCGCAAUGGACGAAAGUCUGACGGAGCAACGCCGCGUGAGUGAAGAAGGUUUUCGGAUCGUAAAACUCUGUUAUCAGGGAAGAACAAGUACCAUUUAACUGAUGGUACCUUGACGGUACCUGACCAGAAAGCCACGGCUAACUACGUGCCAGCAGCCGCGGUAAUACGUAGGUGGCAAGCGUUGUCCGGAAUUAUUGGGCGUAAAGCGCGCGCAGGCGGUUCUUUAAGUCUGAUGUGAAAUCUCGCGGCUCAACCGUGAGCGGUCAUUGGAAACUGGAGAACUUGAGUGCAGAAGAGAAGAGCGGAAUUCCACGUGUAGCGGUGAAAUGCGUAGAGAUGUGGAGGACACCAGUGGCGAAGGCGGCUCUUUGGUCUGUAACUGACGCUGAGGCGCGAAAGCGUGGGGAGCGAACAGGAUUAGAUACCCUGGUAGUCCACGCCGUAAACGAUGAGUGCUAAGUGUUAGAGGGUUCCGCCCUUUAGUGCUGCAGCAA
rnacentral:rRNA from 1 species